CUGUGAGUUCCUCUGUGUUUGUGGGCCCUGGCAGACACACACAAAGGCACGGGUGGGAAAUGUGUCAGUACUGGAUGGUCUACUUUCUCAUCUUAAGAUGCUGCCGCUGCUGCAUCCCAACGUGUAAAGAUGACGGAUCUGAAGGGAACAAAAGGGAAGCUUUUCAAAACACUUCUGAUGGCCAGGAUCAAAGACAUCGUCUCAGAAAAAUAGAACAGAGAAAAAGAGAGAGAAUGAGGGAAAUAAAAUAAAAAAAAUGUUAAAAAAUAAAAAAUUGGGAGUAAACAAGUCAAGCAAGGAGAGCAAGAGUGGAGACGAGAGGUAGCAUCUUAACCACGUCCACGGUGUCUUCGGUGUCUCCGUUCUCCCUGAGCCCAGAAGCAUAGCCAGUCUAAUGAGCAGGAGGACCAGCCCGGGAUGGAGGGGAGGAGAGAGCGACAGCUAGGCCGCAGCUUCCGUCCAUUACCACACACAUGCACACUCAUUCACACACUGCAACUUGGACAGGUCCACUUGAUGAAUGUGACUACGGCGAGACCUGAGGACAGACCUGAGGACAAAGUCUGCAUCCCAAAUGGCACCGGGCUUCCCUGUGUAGUGCACUACUUGUGACCAGGGCCAUAGGGCUCACAUCAAAACGUGUGCCCUAUAUACAGCGCACUGUAGGGAAUGGGGUGCCAUUAGGGGCAGACAGAGUUUCAACGCGAGCGGAGAGUAGUGGUGGGGUUUCUACCUCAUCAGAGGUAACAGAAGGUGACAGGUGGGAAGGAAGGCAUGCAGUCAAUGAGGUGAGAAUCCAUUGAUCAGGCGAGCUGUGUGAAAAGCCUCGCUGUGUGGAGAUCAGUAGGAUGACCAGGUUUUCUGGUCACUGGGAAAGUGAUAAGUGGUGUGCAUGGGAAGAAAAUGGCUAAUAUUCAUUAUUAGGAAUGCAGGUAAGUGUUGUAUACAGAUAUCGCUAAUUGGGUAUAGUGAGCAAUUGUGUUAAUUAAGUGGAUUCAGUUGAAAUCCUUGAACUCUACAUUGUUUGAUACAUUGGACUGAAUGUGGUACCUUGUGCUACUGUGCAAAAUUACUGAAAGGUGUUUUAAUGUUUGUUGUAAUUGUAUGUUGCAAAUAGUAGGUGUCUCCACUAUUUGUAAAUUGUAUCACUGUGUGCUACCAAUGGGUUCUCAACGUGAAUAUCUUGAAAAUGUUGAACACUCUCCUCACCCUGUGAAUGGGGCAUUCACGCUAUGUGUUUCCUCUCAAAGCUCUCUGUCACCCACCAUUUUCUAUUUCCUGUUGCCGAUGCAUUGAGUGAAUUGUUUUGUAAUUUUUUGUAUUUUUUUCUUAUUGCUCAUAGUGUGGCAAGACCGCUUGAUACAGUAACACCAGGAGUCCUGAUACUGUAUAUAUUCAAUCUAAAUGAACCCAACAGGAUCCAAUAAUACUUUAUCUUGCAGGAUGUAGCCCUGCCUUAGGUAACCGUGGCCAGGAGAGAAGAGCCUGUGUGUAAGAUGGAUUGGGUGUGAAUGUGCGGGUGGCAGGCGAAGUCAAAGCCAUGGAUGUAGUGGCAGUCGGGGGAAGAGUGGGAGGGAGGGUGAGGGAGUGGAUGAAGGGAGGGAAGGAAGGAAGGAGGGAGGAUGAAAGGCUACUCGACACACCGGACAGGUGAGGGAUGAGACCAGGGAGAGGAAUUGUAAAUAAAAAAGGAACAGUGAGUGAGUGAUUCGUUAGAUGGCAAAGGAAGGGAGGAGUCCGUAGUGGGAGCAGGAGGAUAGGGGGUGGAGAUGGAGCACCGUGGGUGUCUCUGAGAGUUCCGAUGCCAGGGAGGUCCCACCCCACCUGCCUCCCCAUGCCCAGAAGCUCCUGUCUCUCUCCCUCUUUCUCCCUCCAACUACUCCGUGACAGCUUCACACUCCAGAUAUGUAGAGCCAUGGAUCGUGCAUCUAAUCCAUCCCCUGUGCCUGAUGCAGUUUUAAUUGUAUGGGAGAGGAGAGAGGGAGGUGAGGGAAAGGGAGGAUGGGGGACAGAGAUUGAGCUCUCUGGUGGCUGGUGGCUCGGUGGGGGAGGCAGAGCAGCAUAACUGCAUGGGCAGCUCCCCUGUAAUGCCAUUUAAGUUAGAUAGCUAGCUCUGGUGAAAAAGAAGGCUCCAUCCAGCCUAUUCAGCGCUGAUUGACUUACAGCAAAACGCCAUCACCCAGCCCAGCAUGUCUUUAUUAUGACAUAUUGGCAUCUCUUUUAAUGACUGACAGAGAAGAAUACAACUGGAAGGCUCAGAACCCUCCCAAACUCUUCACUGGGUAACAUGUAAAUUGCCCUUAUACCUAGAUAUGUAACUACCCUUUACUCAGUUGGAAUAAGUGAGCAUGGUGUUAAUUAUCACGAGAUACAGUCAGUCUGUACUCAACUAUGUGUACAGGCUGACGACAACUACCAUUUUUUCAUUUCAUUCCAACACUAAUUUGUUGUUAUAAUAUAAUCUAGUAACACAAGGACCUGUUAGCAUUGCACUACACCUGCUAUAACAUCUGCUAAACGGUGUAUGCGACCAAUAGACUUUGAUUUGAUUUGAGAAUACCUGACAACAAUAAACAGCAAUAUUAUA